rnacentral:rRNA from 1 species
GGAGGUAACGGACGUCGGGCGAACCUACGCCUCCAUACUGGGGGAUAGCAGUUGGAAACGACUGAUAAUACCGCAUAAGCGCACAGCAUCGCAUGAUGCAGUGUGAAAAAACUCCGGUGGUAUGAGAUGGGCCCGCGUCAGAUUAGCCAGUUGGCAGGGUAACGGCCUACCAAAGCGACGAUCUGUAGCCGGCCUGAGAGGGCGGACGGCCACAUUGGGACUGAGACACGGCCCAAACUCCUACGGGAGGCAGCAGUGGGGGAUAUUGCACAAUGGAGGAAACUCUGAUGCAAGCGACGCCGCGUGAGUGAAGAAGUAUUUCGGUAUGUAAAACUCUAUCAGCAGGGAAGAUAAUGACGGUACCUGACUAAGAAGCCCCGGCUAACUACGUGCCAGCCGCAGC